CUGNGAUAGAGGCCUACCAUGGUGGUAACGGGUAACGGGGUGUUAGGGCACGACACCGGAGAGGGAGCCUGAGAAACGGCUACCACAUCCAAGGAUGGCAGCAGGCGCGCAAAUUACCCAAUCCCGACACGGGGAGGUAGUGACAAUAAAUAACAAUACGGGGUUCUUUAGGAUCUCGUAAUUGGAAUGAGUACAAUUUAAAUCUCUUAACGAGGAACAAUUGGAGGGCAAGUCUGGUGCCAGCAGCCGCGGUAAUUCCAGCUCCAAUAGCGUAUAUUAAAGUUGUUGCAGUUAAAAAGCUCGUAGUUGAAUUUCGGGGUUAGUAGGUUGGUCAUGCCUCUGGUAUGUACUGGUCUCACUGAUUCCUCCUUCCUGAUGAGCCGUAAUGCCAUUAAUUUGGUGUUGCGGGGAAUUUGGACUGUUACUUUGAAAAAAUUAGAGUGUUUAAAGCAAGCUAACGCUUGAAUACAUUAGCAUGGAAUAAUGAAAUAGGACGUUCGAUCCUAUUUUGUUGGUUUCUAGGAUUGACGUAAUGAUUAAUAGGGAUAGUUGGGGGCAUUAGUAUUCAAUUGUCAGAGGUGAAAUUCUUGGAUUUAUUGAAGACUAACUACUGCGAAAGCAUUUGCCAAGGAUGUUUUCAUUAAUCAAGAACGAAAGUUAAGGGGUUCGAAGACGAUCAGAUACCGUCGUAGUCUUAACCAUAAACUAUGCCGACUAAGGGAUCGGAUGANGUUAAUUUUNUAAUGACUCAUUCGGCGCCUUACGGGAAACAGGU
rnacentral:rRNA from 1 species